GACGAACGCUGGCGGCGUGCUUAACACAUGCAAGUCGAACGGAAAGGCCCUGCUUUUGUGGGGUGCUCGAGUGGCGAACGGGUGAGCAACACGUGAGUAACCUGCCCUUGACUUUGGGAUAACUUCAGGAAACUGGGUCUAAUACCGGAUAGGAGCUCCUGCUGCAUGGUGGGGGUUGGAAAGUUUCGGCGGUUGGGGAUGGACUCGCGGCUUAUCAGCUUGUUGGUGGGGUAGUGGCUUACCAAGGCUUUGACGGGUAGCCGGCCUGAGAGGGUGACCGGCCACAUUGGGCCUGAGAUACGGACCAGACUCCUACGGGAGGCAGCAGUGGGGAAUAUUGCACAAUGGGCGGAAGCCUGAUGCAGCAACGCCGCGUGCGGGAUGACGGCCUUCGGGUUGUAAACCGCUUUAGCCUGUGACGAAGCGUGAGUGACGGUAAUGGGUAAAGAAGCACCGGCUAACUACGUG
rnacentral:rRNA from 1 species